GGCCACCUCACACUGAAACACUGGUUCCCAUAAAAUCACUGAAGUUAAGCAACAUGGAGCUUGGUUAAUACCUAAAUGGGUGACCACUUGGGAAUAUCAGGUGCUGUAA